rnacentral:rRNA from 1 species
GACGAACGCUGGCGGCGUGCUUAACACAUGCAAGUCGAACGGAAAGGCCCUGCUUUUGUGGGGUGCUCGAGUGGCGAACGGGUGAGUAACACGUGAGUAACCUGCCCUUGACUUUGGGAUAACUUCAGGAAACUCGGGCUAAUACCGGAUAGGAGCUCCUGCUGCAUGGGGGGGGUUGGAAAGUUUCGGCUGUUGGGGAUGGACUCGCGGCUUAUCAGCUUGUUGGUGGGGUAGUGGCUUACCAAGGCUUUGACGGGUCGCCGGCCUGAGAGGGUGACCGGCCACAUUGGGACUGAGAUACGGCGCAGAAUGCUACGGGAGGCAGCAGUGGGGAAUAUUGCACAAUGGGCGGAAGUCUGAUGCAACAACGCCGCGUGCGGGAUGACGGGCUUCGGGUUGUAAACCGCUUUCGCCUGUGACGAAGCGUGCGUGACGGUAAUGGGUAAAGAAGCACCGGCUAACUACGUG